rnacentral:rRNA from 2 species
AUGACUCUCGACAACGGAUAUCCCGGCUCUCGCAUCGAUGAAGAACGUAGCGAAAUGCGAUACUUGGUGUGAAUUGCAGAAUCCCGUGAACCAUCGAGUCUUUGAACGCAAGUUGCGCCCGAAGCCACUAGGCCGAGGGCACGUCUGCCUGGGUGUCACGC